GCAUUGGUGGUUCAGUGGUAAAAUUCUCACUUUCCAUGUGGGAGACCCAGGUUUGGUUCCCGGUCAAUGCA
rfam:Loxodonta africana unplaced genomic scaffold scaffold_9, whole genome shotgun sequence.